rnacentral:tRNA from 1 species
GAGCUCGGUAAAACAGCCAAAACUAGGACUCAUAAUCCGUUUGUCGUAGGUUCGAAUCCUACAUGGCCCACCA